rnacentral:rRNA from 1 species
CCUACGGGAGGCAGCAGUAAGGAAUAUUGGUCAAUGGACGCAAGUCUGAACCAGCCAUGCCGCGUGGAGGAUUAAGGCCUCUGGGUUGUAAACUCCUUUUAUCUGGGAAGCGGUACCAGAGGAAUAAGCACCGGCUAACUCCGUGCCAGCAGCCGCGGUAAUACGGAGGGUGCAAGCGUUAUCCGGAUUCACUGGGUUUAAAGGGUGCGUAGGCGGGCAGGUAAGUCAGUGGUGAAAUCUCCGAGCUUAACUCGGAAACUGCCGUUGAUACUACUUGUCUUGAAUAUUGUGGAGGUAAGCGGAAUAUGUCAUGUAGCGGUGAAAUGCUUAGAUAUGACAUAGAACACCAAUUGCGAAGGCAGCUUACUACACAAUAUUGACGCUGAGGCACGAAAGCGUGGGGAUCAAACAGGAUUAGAUACCCUUGUAGUC